GGAGGAAUUCCCGAGUGGCCAAAGGGGGCAGACUGUAAAUCUGUUGCGUUAGCUUCGAUGGUUCAAAUCCAUCUUCCUCCACCA
rnacentral:tRNA from 10 species